AUUGAACGCUGGCGGCAGGCCUAACACAUGCAAGUCGAGCGGAUGAAGGGAGCUUGCUCCUGGAUUCAGCGGCGGACGGGUGAGUAAUGCCUAGGAAUCUGCCUGGUAGUGGGGGAUAACGUCCGGAAACGGGCGCUAAUACCGCAUACGUCCUGAGGGAGAAAGUGGGGGAUCUUCGGACCUCACGCUAUCAGAUGAGCCUAGGUCGGAUUAGCUAGUUGGUGGGGUAAAGGCCUACCAAGGCGACGAUCCGUAACUGGCCUGAGAGGAUGAUCAGUCACACUGGAACUGAGACACGGUCCAGACUCCUACGGGAGGCAGCAGUGGGGAAUAUUGGACAAUGGGCGAAAGCCUGAUCCAGACAUGCCGCGUGUGUGAAGAAGGUCUUCGGAUUGUAAAGCACUUUAAGUUGGGAGGAAGGGCAGUAAGUUAAUACCUUGCUGUUUUGACGUUACCAACAGAAUAAGCACCGGCUAACUUCGUG
rnacentral:rRNA from 1 species